UACGUAGGGUGCAAGCGUUGUCCGGAAUUAUUGGGCGUAAAGAGCUCGUAGGCGGUCUGUUGCGUCGGCUGUGAAAACCCGGGGCUCAACUCCGGGCCUGCAGCCGAUACGGGCAGACUAGAGUUCGGCAGGGGAGACUGGAAUUCCUGGUGUAGCGGUGGAAUGCGCAGAUAUCAGGAGGAACACCGGUGGCGAAGGCGGGAUCCUGGGCCAGUACUGACGCUGAGGAGCGAAAGCGUGGGGAGCAAACAGG
rnacentral:rRNA from 1 species